rnacentral:tRNA from 1 species
GCGGCAACAGCCGCCGGGAGCACGCAAGACGAGCAUGACGAAUGCCGAUGGAACUACAGGUCAGAAACCUCCGGGUCGCGGGUUCGAAUCCCGUCGGGUCCUCCA